GGAUGAGCCCGCGGCCUAUCAGCUUGUUGGUGGGGUAAUGGCCUACCAAGGCGACGACGGGUAGCCGGCCUGAGAGGGCGACCGGCCACACUGGGACUGAGACACGGCCCAGACUCCUACGGGAGGCAGCAGUGGGGAAUAUUGCACAAUGGGCGAAAGCCUGAUGCAGCGACGCCGCGUGAGGGAUGACGGCCUUCGGGUUGUAAACCUCUUUCAGCAGGGAAGAAGCGCAAGUGACGGUACCUGCAGAAGAAGCGCCGGCUAACUACGUGCCAGCAGCCGCGGUAAUACGUAGGGCGCAAGCGUUGUCCGGAAUUAUUGGGCGUAAAGAGCUCGUAGGCGGCUUGUCACGUCGGAUGUGAAAGCCCGGGGCUUAACCCCGGGUCUGCAUUCGAUACGGGCAGGCUAGAGUUCGGUAGGGGAGAUCGGAAUUCCUGGUGUAGCGGUGAAAUGCGCAGAUAUCAGGAGGAACACCGGUGGCGAAGGCGGAUCUCUGGGCCGAUACUGACGCUGAGGAGCGAAAGCGUGGGGAGCGAACAGGAUUAGAUACCCUGGUAGUCCACGCCGUAAACGUUGGGAACUAGGUGUGGGCGACAUUCCACGUCGUCCGUGCCGCAGCUAACGCAUUAAGUUCCCCGC
rnacentral:rRNA from 1 species